rnacentral:rRNA from 1 species
UUACUUGGAUAACUGUGGUAAUUCUAGAGCUAAUACAUGCAAAUAGAGCUCCGACCGGAGACGGAAGGAGCGCUUUUAUUAGAUCAAAACCAAUCGGUGGCGGGCUCGCUCGUCAUCGUCCAACUUGGUGACUCUGAAUAACUUUACGCUGAUCGCACGGUCUCGCACCGGCGACGCAUCUUUCAAAUGUCUGCCUUAUCAACUGUCGAUGGUAGGUUCUGCGCCUACCAUGGUUGUAACGGGUAACGGGGAAUCAGGGUUCGAUUCCGGAGAGGGAGCCUGAGAAACGGCUACCACAUCCAAGGAAGGCAGCAGGCGCGCAAAUUACCCACUCCCGGCACGGGGAGGUAGUGACGAAAAAUAACGAUACGGGACUCAUCCGAGGCCCCGUAAUCGGAAUGAGUACACUCUAAACCCUUUAACAAAGAUCAAUUGGAGGGCAAGUCUGGUGCCAGCAGCCGCAGUAAUUCCAGCUCCAAUAGCGUAUAUUAAAGUUGUUGCGGUUAAAAAGCUCGUAGUCGAAUCUGUGGCCCGCGCCGCCGGUUCAUCGUCCGCGGUGUCAACUGGCGUGCCGCGGGCCGUCCUGCCGGUGGGCUUAGCUCGCAAGGGCGGCCCAACCCAAUCCCGCCGCGGUGCUCUUCACUGAGUGUCGAGGUGGGCCGGCACGUUUACUUUGAACAAAUUAGAGUGCUUAAAGCAGGCUAAAACUUCGCCUGAAUACUGUGUGCAUGGAAUAAUGGAAUAGGACCUCGGUUCUAUUUUGUUGGUUUUCGGAACCCCGAGGUAAUGAUUAAUAGG